rnacentral:rRNA from 1 species
GCCACAGCCAUAUCACCCUGCAGCCCAAGACUGGUUGCCCACUGAAGCUAAGCAGGUUUGAGCCUGGUCAGUACCUGGAUGGGAGACCUCCAAAACUAGGUUGCUGCUGGAA